UGCGGAAUUGUGUAAGGGUAGCACUACUGACUCUGGAUCAGUCUGUGAGGGUUCGAAUCCUUCUUCCGCAGCCA
rnacentral:tRNA from 1 species